rnacentral:rRNA from 1 species
UGCAGCAACGCCGCGUGAGGGACGACGGCCUUCGGGUUGUAAACCUCUUUUAGCAGGGAAGAAGCGAAAGUGACGGUACCUGCAGAAAAAGCACCGGCUAACUACGUGCCAGCAGCCGCGGUAAUACGUAGGGUGCAAGCGUUAUCCGGAAUUAUUGGGCGUAAAGAGCUCGUAGGCGGUUUGUCGCGUCUGCUGUGAAAACUGGGGGCUCAACCCCCAGCCUGCAGUGGGUACGGGCAGACUAGAGUGCGGUAGGGGAGAUUGGAAUUCCUGGUGUAGCGGUGGAAUGCGCAGAUAUCAGGAGGAACACCGAUGGCGAAGGCAGAUCUCUGGGCCGUAACUGACGCUGAGGAGCGAAAGGGUGGGGAGCAAACAGGCUUAGAUACCCUGGUAGUCCACCCCGUAAACGUUGGGAACUAGUUGUGGGGUCCAUUCCACGGAUUCCGUGACGCAGCUAACGCAUUAAGUUCCCCGCCUGGGGAGUACGGCCGCAAGGCUAAAACUCAAAGGAAUUGACGGGGACCCGCACAAGCGGCGGAGCAUGCGGAUUAAUUCGAUGCAACGCGAAGAACCUUACCAAGGCUUGACAUAUACGAGAACGCUGCAGAAAUGUAGAACUCUUUGGACACUC